AUUGAACGCUGGCGGCAUGCCUAACACAUGCAAGUCGAACGGCAGCACAGCAGUAGCAAUACUGUGGGUGGCGAGUGGCGGACGGGUGAGGAAUACGUCGGAAUCUGCCCAGUCGUGGGGGAUAACUAGCCGAAAGGUUAGCUAAUACCGCAUACGACCGAGAGGUGAAAGCGGGGGACCGCAAGGCCUCGCGCGAUUGGAUGAGCCGACGUCGGAUUAGCUAGUUGGCGGGGUAAAGGCCCACCAAGGCGACGAUCCGUAGCUGGUCUGAGAGGAUGAUCAGCCACACUGGAACUGAGACACGGUCCAGACUCCUACGGGAGGCAGCAGUGGGGAAUAUUGGACAAUGGGCGCAAGCCUGAUCCAGCAAUGCCGCGUGUGUGAAGAAGGCCUUCGGUUGUAAGCACUUUAUCAGGACGAAAAGACGUUGGAUUAAUACUCUGACGUGCUGACGGUACCUGAGGAAUAAGCACCGGCUAACUUACGUGCCAG
rnacentral:rRNA from 1 species